AAUUUAAUUGUGUCUAUUGACAUUAUAUGUUUAAACAAUUUAUCUUUGCAUGCAGUAAGUAUCAUGAUAGAGAUACCUAUUAUAGUUCUAUAAUGUAAUGUCACACUACAUACACUGAACACAGGGUAAUAAACAAAAAUAAUCUAACUGACAGUGUGUACUGGUACAAAAACUGAGAGAAUUGAGUAAUUAUUAACAUUAUUUGUCACUGAAUCAACUUGUAGAAGAAAUCAAGACACUAUCUUAUAAACUUUUCGUUGAUUAAAAUAUUGAAAAGUAUAUGUAUUUGAGUUUCAUGACUUAUCAACUAUUGACCAUAAAGCAGGGGUAAAUCCAGCCAUUUUCAAAAGAGGUCCUUAACACAUGAUAAAUAGAAAGUUCCAACCAUAUGCCCC
rnacentral:lncRNA from 1 species